rnacentral:ncRNA from 2 species
UUCUUAUCAAUAGAGGUAGAGGGACUGGCCCUAUGAAACCCAACAACCGGCAUUUAUAUGUAUCGGUGUUAAUUCCAGCAGAAUAGAUUUUACUAUUCUGGAAGAUAAGAA